GGGCGCUUAGCUCAGUCGGGUCAGAGCACUUCCCUUACAAGGAAGGGGUCGGCGGUUCGAGUCCGCCAGCGCCCA
rnacentral:tRNA from 1 species